UACGUAGGGUGCAAGCGUUAAUCGGAAUUACUGGGCGUAAAGCGUGCGCAGGCGGCUAUGUAAGACAGAUGUGAAAUGCCCGGCUUAACCUGGGAACUGCAUUUGUGACUGCAUGGCUAGAGUUUGGCAGAGGGGGGUAGAAUUCCACGUGUAGCAGUGAAAUGCGUAGAUAUGUGGAGGAACACCGAUGGCGAAGGCAGCCCCCUGGGUCAAGACUGACGCUCAUGCACGAAAGCGUGGGGAGCAAACAGG
rnacentral:rRNA from 1 species